GCUCAGAUGGUGUAGUUGGUUAUCACGUCAGUCGUGAGUGGAUCCUCAUCUUAACAUUGAAAAUUUUCAACAGUACUAACUAGUCUUCCAGUAACACACUGAAGGUCCUGAGUUCAAGUCUCGGUCUGAGUA